rnacentral:rRNA from 1 species
UCAGGAGGGGGAUAACGGCUGGAAACGGCCGCUAAUACCCCAUAUGCCGAGAGGUGAAAUGAAUUUCGCCUGAGGAUGAGCUCGCGUCUGAUUAGCUAGUUGGUAAGGUAAGAGCUUACCAAGGCAUCGAUCAGUAGCUGGUCUGAGAGGAUGAUCAGCCACACUGGGACUGAGACACGGCCCAGACUCCUACGGGAGGCAGCAGUGGGGAAUUUUCCGCAAUGGGCGAAAGCCUGACGGAGCAACGCCGCGUGAGGGAUGAAGGCCUCUGGGCUGUAAACCUCUUUUCUCAAGGAAGAAGACAUGACGGUACUUGAGGAAUAAGCCACGGCUAAUUCCGUGCCAGCAGCCGCGGUAAUACGGGAGUGGCAAGCGUUAUCCGGAAUUAUUGGGCGUAAAGCGUCCGCAGGCGGCCUUUUAAGUCUGUUGUUAAAGCGUGGAGCUCAACUCCAUUUCGGCAAUGGAAACUGGAAGGCUGGAGUGUGGUAGGGGCAGAGGGAAUUCCCGGUGUAGCGGUGAAAUGCGUAGAUAUCGGGAAGAACACCAGUGGCGAAGGCGCUCUGCUGGGCCAUAACUGACGCUCAUGGACGAAAGCCAGGGGAGCGAAAGGGAUUAGAUACCCCUGUAGUCCUGGCCGUAAACGAUGAACACUAGGUGUCGGGGGAAUCGACCCCCUCGGUGUCGUAGCCAACGCGUUAAGUGUUCCGCCUGGGGAGUACGCACGCAAGUGUGAAACUCAAAGGAAUUGACGGGGGCCCGCACAAGCGGUGGAGUAUGUGGUUUAAUUCGAUGCAACGCGAAGAACCUUACCAGGGUUUGACAUCCUGCGAAUCCCUUGGAAACUAGGGAGUGCCUUCGGGAGCGCAGAGACAGGUGGUGCAUGGCUGUCGUCAGCUCGAGUCGUGAGAUGUUGGGUUAAGUCCCCCAACGAGCGCAACCCACGUCUUUAGUUGCCAGCAUUCAGUUGGGCACUCUAGAGAGACCGCCGGUGAUAAACCGGAGGAAGGUGUGGAUGACGUCAAGUCAUCAUGCCCCUUACAUCCUGGGCUACACACGUACUACAAUGCUACGGACAAAGGGCAGCAAACUCGCGAGAGCUAGCAAAUCCCAUAAACCGUGGCUCAGUUCAGAUCGUAGGCUGCAACUCGCCUACGUGAAGGAGGAAUCGCUAGUAAUCGCAGGUCAGCAUACUGCGGUGAAUACGUUCCCGGGCCUUGUACACACCGCCCGUCACACCAUGGAAGUUGGCCACGCCCGAAGCCGUUACUCCAACCCUUGUGGAGGAGGACGUCGAAGGUGGGGCUGAUGACUGGGGUGAAGUCGUAACAAGGUA